AAUGAUCCCUCCUCCCGCUUUUUUGAUUGCUUAAUUUCACCGGGUUUCCCUCCUGGUUUCGGAGGUCCAAAGUUGAAAAAAAAGGCCUGGUGAAUCUAGACCUGGGGGUGGAAGAAAGCGCUACUUGGGGGCGCUUCGCCACCACAAGGACCAACCCAUAAACCUUUUUGCAAUGGCAAUCAGCGUCAGUAACAAUGUAAUAAUUUACAACUUUCAACAACGGAUCUCUUGGUUCUGGCAUCGAUGAAGAACGCAGCGAAAUGCGAUAAGUAGUGUGAAUUGCAGAAUUCAGUGAAUCAUCGAAUCUUUGAACGCACAUUGCGCCCUUUGGUAUUCCAAAGGGCAUGCCUGUUCGAGCGUCAUUUGUACCCUCAAGCUUUGCUUGGUGUUGGGCGUCUUUUUGUCUCCCCUUGCGGGAGACUCGCCUUAAAGUCAUUGGCAGCCGGCCUACUGGUUUCGGAGCGCAGCACAAGUCGCGCUCUCUUCCAGCCCCAAGGUCUAGCGAUCCACCAAGCCUUUUUUUUCAACUUUGACGUCGGAUCAGGUAGGGAUACCCGCCGAACUAG
rnacentral:rRNA from 1 species